AUGAUAUAAAUACCGUACAGAAUCUUUGAGAAGACAUCAGUGAUCCACAGCCAUCGCAACACUAUAGCAGUGAAAUCUUAUCAAGUUCAACCAAACACCAACAAAAAAAAACACUCUUCGCCAUGUACAAGUUAAUGAUGUUGGUUGUCGCCGCUUUGGCUCUUAUCGCCGUCGCAUCAGCUCAAAUAAUCUACACUUACCCGUCACAGGCCGUUUACCCGUCUGUCUACACCUAUCCGACGUACCAAUACCAAUACCCGUUAACCUAUUCUCCAUACACGACCUUCCUCCGACGAUAGAACCGAACUCAUCCAUAACCCAAACUCGGCUAUGUUUUUUUGCAAAUAAACCCCAAUCACACUCGCAUGGACUCAACAAAUGGACUCACUCGUGGACUCGUUCAUACUUCGAUCUAAUGUUACAUUUGUUCACGAAUAAUUAUUGUUUUGUCAAAUAAAAUAAUAUAUUUUUCUUUUAAA